CUCAACAAUCAUUGACUUCGUGAUGUUAAUACCAAAUUUCAACCAUAUAUAUUAAGAUUUCACUAUUUUCUUUUCAAAAAGAAGAUGACUACACUAACUAGGUGCCAUGGGGAUACCACCCAUGUACAAAAUCUCACUAGUUUUUUAGUUUGCACAAAGCAAGUUAAAGUUUUACUAGCUUAGAUCUCUCACUCAAAUGAGCUGCAUAAUGUUUUCUUAUGAUCAAUGAUAAUCGAAUAAGACUUUGGAAAGCGCAUGGUAGUUCUUAGUCUUAAUGAUCACAGGCAUGUAAUGGAUUUUAGUGUUGGAAACCACGGUAGACGAAGACUGUACUGUUUCAGGUAUGAGUUGAUAAGCCCCAUAGAUGGAUUAAUUUUGAGGCUUAGCUCAUAUGGAUUGGUCCUGCAGUGGCAGUUGAAUAGACAGUAGGUUUCUUGUGUAAAAAUGAAGGAAUUUGGUUAAUCUCCAACAUAUAGUACGUUGGUUUCCCUUCAAGAUAAUUUGAGGAUUAGUAGCCUUUGGUGGAGUAGAAGAUCAAAUCCCCAUUUGUAGAGCUCGAUUUUGGUGGAUUAGAUCUGGGUGACACCUUGUUUCCACUUUCUGAUGUGGGUUGGAAGUAUUGGUUGUAGCUGAGAGCUCAACUACUUGUUAUUGGUAAUAAAAGCUUUACCAAAAAGCUGUUUGGUUUCCAUUCUCAGUUUUGAAGUGUUUGGCAGAUAGAAAGUUAAUCUUUUUUGAUAGAAGGUUGUUCACAAGGUUGGGGAGAGGGCAGGUGGGGUGCAUCUCAUAUUAAAAAACUACAUGCUUCGUGUAAGAUUUAUCAAAAUAUCUCUUAGGAAUUGAAGCAUUCUUUGAUUGGACAGAAGGACCUGAAAACAAAUGUCUAGAGAAUGAAUCCAGCAGUCUUUGACCUAUGGUGACAGAUUUCUUCCCCUCAAUCUUUGUUGUUUCUCUCAAUCUAAGAGUUCCAAAAUGUAUUGGAUGGGGCUAGAGCAUCUGAUAUCCAGCAUACCCAGCGUAGCCAUUUCCUCCUGGAGCUUGCCUUCCCCUUGCAUGUCCUGAAUUAAUUUAAGACAGAGCCUGCCAUCACCGACUUUUUCCCCACUAUCAAACCUCAAAGGGAUAUCUCAAAGCUGCCUUGUUCAUUUGCUCCAUAGUAGUAAGUGCCUUAUAGACUUAACUUCUAUUGUACAUGGGAAACUUCUGUUAACUGGGAUUUGAAUAUCUAUUAUGAGGACUCUCUUACGAUAUUUCCCAAUUAGAGAGAAAACUUUUGUUGGCUUGGACUUCUAAAGAUUCUAAGGGAAAAAAAUCCAUUCUGGUUGACCACAGCCCUGUUACUUGUCAUAAGUGCUGUGAGUUGCCAUUGCUUAUCUCUCUUGUUGAGGAUCCAGCAACCUUUAUAAGCUGGGUGAAUAACCUUUAUAAAGCUCUCUAGAGAUGAGGCUAGAAUCUGUUCGUUCAUUAGAGGGAUAUCUUAAAGCAGCUGAUUGUUGAUAUCCGAUAGCAUUCUUCCAUCCAAGCCUCCUUUACCCUUGUCGCAUUGAAGAGGUAUGAGAAGUGAAUUUUAAGGGAGGGAAGCCUCACACCAUCUACAUUGCAAAAUUGUACGCAGUUUCCCUUCCCCACUUUAGAUUUCACAUGUGCAGAACAUCUCCCCAGCAUGCUUAAUGAAUAAGCUUCUGUAGUACCAUCUGAUUGCCUGCCCCUAUGACCAAUUAGACAAAUAUUUGCAUGAUUGUUGUGAACCCAAAUUUAACAUAGUAACAUAGUGGUGUAAAUUUUUCAUCCAUAAUAGUAUUAUCUUCUAUGAGAUCCAGACAACUUGCCUUAAUUUUACUGAUUUAUUUGAGAAUGGUGACUAGAAACUUACCUAUAUAGUAUAUGGUAAUAAUGGCCCUUCAUCCAUAAUGGAAUUAUCUUCUAUGAGAUCCGGACAACUUGCCUUAAUUUUACUGAUUUAUUUGAGAAUGGUGACUAGAAACUUACCUAUAUAGUACAUGGUAAUAAUGGCCCUCUUUCCAUGUUGGUUUUACUCAUAUGAGCUUUAAUUGGAUCUAGCCCAGUGAUAGAUUAGUGGUUUAUAAAUGCCUAAGAAGCUACUUUUUGGGGAUGAUGCCAAUUAUGCAAAUAGAUAGUCUGGCCCUGGAAUUAUAUUUUGUACUUAUAUUUUUCUUAUUUUUUGUUCUUCAAUGAUUGACUUGAUUUAUAAGUACAAAGUGGCCCUGGCUUGUGUAUGGGUAUGCAGCUCUGAUUUCUUAGUACAUAUAAUAUCUAAGUGUUGUCAUUAAAAGUUUAUAAGUCUUGGUCCUAGAGGAUGUUAUUCAACUCCUAAGUAUGCAGCUCCGAUUUCUUAGUACAUGUAAUACCUAAGUGUUGUCAUUAAAAGUUUAUAAGUCUUGAUCCUAGAGGAUGUUAUUCAACUCCAGGCUGGGGUUGGUGGCUGGGUAUGGCUUGUUUGCAUGGAUGUUUGGGCCCACAACUUUUUUGGUGUUUCAGGCUUCCUAUAACAACUUUUUAGCAAGUUAAUGAAUUCUUUUCUUUUGGAAGCUGAGAAAGAUAUUGCAGCUAAUAGUAAUG
rnacentral:lncRNA from 1 species